rnacentral:rRNA from 1 species
GCGGAGGAAAAGAAAAUAACAAUGAUUUCCCUAGUAACGGCGAGUGAAGAGGAAAGAGCUCAAAGUUGGAAACUGUUUGGCUUAGCUAAACCGUAUUGUAAACUGUAGAAACAUUUUCCUGGCACACCAGAUUAAUAAGUCCUUUGGAACAAGGCAUCAUGGAGGGUGAGAAUCCCGUCUUUGAUCUGAGUAGUUGUCUUUUGUGAUAUGUUUUCAAAGAGUCAGGUUGUUUGGGAAUGCAGCCUAAAUUGGGUGGUAAAUCUCACCUAAAGCUAAAUAUUUGCGAGAGACCGAUAGCGAACAAGUACCGUGAGGGAAAGAUGAAAAGAACUUUGAAAAGAGAGUUAAACAGUAUGUGAAAUUGUUAAAAGGGAACCGUUUGGAGCCAGACUGGUUUGCUUGUAAUCAACCUAGAAUUCGUUUUGGGUGCACUUGCAGGCUAUACCUGCCAACAACAGUUUGAUUUGGAGGAAAAAAUUARUAGGAAUGUAGCCUCUCGAGGUGUUAUAGCCUAYUAUCAUACUCUGGAUUGGACUGAGGAACGCAGCGAAUGCCUUUAGGCAAGAUUGCUGGGUGCUUUCGCUAAUAAAUGUUAGAAUUUCUGCUUCGGGUGGUGCUAAUGUUUAAAGGAGGAACACAUCUAGUAUAUUUUUUAUUCGCUUAGGUUGUUGGCUUAAUGACUCUAAUGAC